AGCCUAAACCCAUAGAUAACCUAUGGGCAUGGCAAACAAGACCCUUGGAAGAUACUGAACCUCACGUUCAGCAACUCUUCCAUGGGCUGUACUUCGAAAGGAGUAUAGGGUCGUAAGACCU
rnacentral:sRNA from 1 species